GCUGGGCAUGGUGGCGGGUGCCUGUAAUCCCAGCUACGCAGGAGGCUGAGGCAGGAGAAUCACUUGAACCCAGGAGAUGGAGUUUGCAGUGAGUCAAGAUCAUGCCACUGCACUCCAGCCUGGGUGACAGAGUGAGAUUCCAUCUCAA
rnacentral:SRP_RNA from 2 species